rnacentral:rRNA from 1 species
UACGUAGGGGGCUAGCGUUGUCCGGAUUUAUUGGGCGUAAAGAGCGUGUAGGCGGCCAGGUAGGUCUGCUGUGAAAACUCGAGGCUUAACCUCGAGAUGUCGGCGGAAACCACUUGGCUAGAGUCCGGAAGAGGAGAGUGGAAUUCCUGGUGUAGCGGUGAAAUGCGCAGAUAUCAGGAAGAACACCUAUGGCGAAGGCAGCUCUCUGGGACGGUACUGACGCUGAGACGCGAAAGCGUGGGGAGCGAACAGG